GGGUUGUGAGGUUAAGCGACUAAGCGUACACGGUGGAUGCCCUGGCAGUCAGAGGCGAUGAAGGACGUGCUAAUCUGCGAUAAGCGUCGGUAAGGUGAUAUGAACCGUUAUAACCGGCGAUUUCCGAAUGGGGAAACCCAGUGUGAUUCGUCACACUAUCAUUAACUGAAUCCAUAGGUUAAUGAGGCGAACCGGGGGAACUGAAACAUCUAAGUACCCCGAGGAAAAGAAAUCAACCGAGAUUCCCCCAGUAGCGGCGAGCGAACGGGGAGGAGCCCAGAGCCUGAAUCAGUGUGUGUGUUAGUGGAAGCGUCUGGAAAGGCGCGCGAUACAGGGUGACAGCCCCGUACACAAAAAUGCACAUGCUGUGAGCUCGAUGAGUAGGGCGGGACACGUGGUAUCCUGUCUGAAUAUGGGGGGACCAUCCUCCAAGGCUAAAUACUCCUGACUGACCGAUAGUGAACCAGUACCGUGAGGGAAAGGCGAAAAGAACCCCGGCGAGGGGAGUGAAAAAGAACCUGAAACCGUGUACGUACAAGCAGUGGGAGCACAGAGCAAUCUGUGUGACUGCGUACCUUUUGUAUAAUGGGUCAGCGACUUAUAUUCUGUAGCAAGGUUAACCGAAUAGGGGAGCCGAAGGGAAACCGAGUCUUAACUGGGCGUUAAGUUGCAGGGUAUAGACCCGAAACCCGGUGAUCUAGCCAUGGGCAGGUUGAAGGUUGGGUAACACUAACUGGAGGACCGAACCGACUAAUGUUGAAAAAUUAGCGGAUGACUUGUGGCUGGGGGUGAAAGGCCAAUCAAACCGGGAGAUAGCUGGUUCUCCCCGAAAGCUAUUUAGGUAGCGCCUCGUGAAUUCAUCUCCGGGGGUAGAGCACUGUUUCGGCAAGGGGGUCAUCCCGACUUACCAACCCGAUGCAAACUGCGAAUACCGGAGAAUGUUAUCACGGGAGACACACGGCGGGUGCUAACGUCCGUCGUGAAGAGGGAAACAACCCAGACCGCCAGCUAAGGUCCCAAAGUCAUGGUUAAGUGGGAAACGAUGUGGGAAGGCCCAGACAGCCAGGAUGUUGGCUUAGAAGCAGCCAUCAUUUAAAGAAAGCGUAAUAGCUCACUGGUCGAGUCGGCCUGCGCGGAAGAUGUAACGGGGCUAAACCAUGCACCGAAGCUGCGGCAGCGACGCUUAUGCGUUGUUGGGUAGGGGAGCGUUCUGUAAGCCUGCGAAGGUGUGCUGUGAGGCAUGCUGGAGGUAUCAGAAGUGCGAAUGCUGACAUAAGUAACGAUAAAGCGGGUGAAAAGCCCGCUCGCCGGAAGACCAAGGGUUCCUGUCCAACGUUAAUCGGGGCAGGGUGAGUCGACCCCUAAGGCGAGGCCGAAAGGCGUAGUCGAUGGGAAACAGGUUAAUAUUCCUGUACUUGGUGUUACUGCGAAGGGGGGACGGAGAAGGCUAUGUUGGCCGGGCGACGGUUGUCCCGGUUUAAGCGUGUAGGCUGGUUUUCCAGGCAAAUCCGGAAAACUAAGGCUGAGGCGUGAUGACGAGGCACUACGGUGCUGAAGCAACAAAUGCCCUGCUUCCAGGAAAAGCCUCUAAGCAUCAGGUAACAUCAAAUCGUACCCCAAACCGACACAGGUGGUCAGGUAGAGAAUACCAAGGCGCUUGAGAGAACUCGGGUGAAGGAACUAGGCAAAAUGGUGCCGUAACUUCGGGAGAAGGCACGCUGAUAUGUAGGUGAAGUCCCU
rnacentral:rRNA from 1 species